rnacentral:rRNA from 1 species
CCAGACUCCUACGGGAGGCAGCAGCGAGGAAUAUUGGUCAAUGGGCGGAAGCCUGAACCAGCCAAGUCGCGUGAGGGAAUAAGGCCCUACGGGUCGUAAACCUCUUUUGCCGGGGAGCAAGGACCGGGACGAGUCCCGGUCCGGAGAGUACCCGGAGAAAAAGCAUCGGCUAACUCCGUGCCAGCAGCCGCGGUAAUACGGAGGAUGCGAGCGUUAUCCGGAUUUAUUGGGUUUAAAGGGUGCGUAGGCGGGCUUUUAAGUCAGCGGUAAAAAUUCGGGGCUCAACCCCGUCCGGCCGUUGAAACUGGGGGCCUUGAGUGGGCGAGAAGAAGGCGGAAUGCGUGGUGUAGCGGUGAAAUGCAUAGAUAUCACGCAGAACCCCCAUUGCGAAGGCAGCCUUCCGGCGCCCUACUGACGCUGAGGCACGAAAGUGCGGGGAUCGAACAGGAUUAGAUACCCUGGUAGUCCGCACAGUAAACGAUGGAUGCCAGCUGUCCGGGCCGAAUGGGGCCUGG